rnacentral:misc_RNA from 1 species
GUGAAGAACGUAGCGAAAUGCGAUACGUAAUGUGAAUUGCAGAAUUCAGUGAAUCAUCGAGUCUUUGAACGCACAUUGCGCCCCCUGGUAUUCCGGGGGGCAUGCCUGUCCGAGCGUCAUUGCUGCCCUCAAGCACGGCUUGUGUGUUGGGCCUCCGUCCUCCUCCCGGGGGACGGGCCCGAAAGGCAGCGGCGGCACCGCGUCCGGUCCUCGAGCGUAUGGGGCUUCGUCACCCGCUCUUGUAGGCCCGGCCGGCGCUUGCCGACACAUCAAUCUUUUUUCCAGGUUGACCUCGGAUCAGGUAGGGAUACCCGCUGAACUUAAGCAUAUCAAUAAGCGGAGG